rnacentral:rRNA from 1 species
UACGAAGGGGGCGAGCGUUGUUCGGAAUCACUGGGCGUAAAGGGCGCGUAGGCGGAUCGCUAAGUCAGGGGUGAAAUCCCAGGGCUCAACCCUGGAACUGCCUUUGAUACUGACGAUCUGGAGAUCGGGAGAGGUGAGUGGAAUUCCGAGUGUAGAGGUGAAAUUCGUAGAUAUUCGGAGGAACACCAGAAGCGAAGGCGGCUCACUGGCCCGAUACUGACGCUGAGGCGCGAAAGCGUGGGGAGCAAACAGG